AUUAUAUUUAAUGUUGCUAUGUCUCACUAUGUUUUUAAUUCACCAACUAAAUUUUAUGUAUAUACAAGAAAAUCACAUUAUAUGGAGAAUCAACAGACGUUCCAAUACACAGUAUUGACUCCAAGACAGAAGGUAAGGGUUUAAAAAAAAAAAAAAAGAGGACCAGAGGCCGGAAGAUCCAUUGGAGGGCAAGUCUGGUGCCAGCAGCCAUGGUAAUUCCAGCUCCAAUAGCAUAUAUUAAAGUUGCUUCAGUUAAAAAGUUUGUAGUUGGAUCUUGGAAUCGAGUUGGGGGUCCCCUGCGGAGCGAGCCACCACCUGUCCCAGCCCCUGCCUCUUGGUGCCCCCUCAAAGCUCUUAUCUGAGUGUCCUGUGGGGCGGGAGCGUUUACUUUGAAAAAAUUAGUGUUCAAAGCAGGCCCGAGUUGCCUGGAUACCCCAGCUAGGAAUAAUAGAAUAGGACCCCGGUUCUAGUUUGUUGGUUUUCGGAACUAGGGCCACGGGGAAUCAGGGUUCGAUUCCAGAGAGGGAGCCUGA
rnacentral:ncRNA from 1 species